GACGAACGCUGGCGGCGUGCUUAACACAUGCAAGUCGUACGGUAAGGCCCUUUCGGGGGUCCACGAGUGGCGAACGGGUGCGUAACACGUGAGUAACCUGCCCACAACUUUGGGAUAACGCUAGGAAACUGGUGCUAAUACUGGAUAUGUGCUCCUGCUGCAUGGUGGGGGUUGGAAAGCUCCGGCGGUUGUGGAUGGACUCGCGGCCUAUCAGCUUGUUGGUGGGGUAGUGGCCUACCAAGGCGGCGACGGGUAGCCGGCCUGAGAGGGUGACCGGCCACAUUGGGACUGAGAGACGGCCCAGACUCCUACGGGAGGCAGCAGUGGGGAAUAUUGCACAAUGGGCGCAAGCCUGAUGCAGCAACGCCGCGUGCGGGAUGACGGCCUUCGGGUUGUAAACCGCUUUCAGCAGGGACGAAGCUUUUUGUGACGGUACCUGCAGAAGAAGCACCGGCUAACUACGUG
rnacentral:rRNA from 1 species